UCUCCCUCUCUCCCUCUCACCCUCUCCCUCUCUCCUUUUUUGAUGAACACCCUGGAAAGGAGGAGGAUAGUGCCUCAAGAAGACUUGGUUUGCUAGGAUUUGCGUAGUUCCGUAAAAAACAAGCUUUUGAGCUUUAAAGUAAAUGAUGGGGGGUGGGCGCGGGAAGUGCUUCUUGGCUUAGCCCGUUGGAACCAGGGAGGAGGUGGCCACUUGUCCUGGGAAGACUGGCGGUCCGACGAGCUGCCCCUCUGCAGCGCAGCAGCCGGGCAAGGCGCUUCCUCGUAUUUUCAGUUAACCACAGAAUUUCAAGGGAUUAGCCGAACUCCAUCUCUUUUAAUGAACUAUUCAGAAGGUCAUUUGUUUGAUGUGGGACUUAGUAUGUUUCGGUUUCUAAUCAACUACUUUACCGAACCGUUGUGGAAGGAGAAGCCUUAGGUGGCAGUAUCGAAGCCAAAAGCUUCCAGAAUUGGCUUCUGAAAAAUAAGAGUUAAAUGCACAUGAGUAAGCAAAUACAGGAAUCCGAAAAACCACAGGCAGUCCGUGGCAGAUCAAGCCUAGUACAUUUCCAGCACUUCAGGAGAGUUCUUGCCCAACCUGUUCAAUAUUCAUCUCAAAUGCCAUCGUGAAGGACUGAAAUGCAGAUAAGUCGUUAGAAAACUUUUGUAGGAAAAGUGCCUCGUGUGAUCAGAACAAAGCUGUUUUAUAAUCAGAUUUACCAAGCGAAGAAGGAGUAUCGGCGAACGGAAGCUGCAGUGUUCUGUCACCAGGAAACACUGCAUUUUACAGAGUCGAACUGGCCAUGUACUGUGAAAACCCUUCCCCUGUCAGCAUGGGUACAAUCCAGCAUCUGCACCUAAAUAUAAAGGCCAGAAAAGGAAUGCUGUUGUCAAGAUGUAACAUGGCUCUUGGUUUGUACUAAGCUGCUUCUGACAAAAUUCAUGCUCUCCUGACUAGCUAAAGAACUGGAUUCAUUUUCACUAUCUUUAUUGAAGUGUGGUAAACAAAGAACAGCACAUACUCCGUGGGUACUUUGAGUGUGGACAUAUGUAAACACCUGUGAUGCUGUGACCCCAAUCACCCAUAAUCAAGGGGCCUGGAUUAUUUCUCUUCUCCUUCGUCAUUGUCCCAAAUCUUUUAUGAAGGAAUCUUCUAUCUCAAAGAAUCUGAACAUUUUACUCUAUUCCACCAUCUCACUACAUCAUUAGUUCCCUGAAAGUGCACCCUGGAAUUUAUUGAACUGUCCACUACUGCUAACGAGUCCUUCUGAAAGCAGAAGAGCAGCUGUGUAAUGGACGAGACAAGCAACUUAGACAUUGAGCUCAUGCAUGGCUUUCUAUGGUGUGAGAAUGGAAAUUGCUUCUAAGAAACACAACUUUUACAAUGUGGUUUGUUUGCCUAUUCUUCAGAUAACUAAAUUUAAAUUCAUGGGUAUUUUUUUAAGUAGCAGUUCUGGCUGAAAUUGUCAGUUGGAGGAAUAGAAGUUUUAAUUGUAAAUGUGUUAAUUGUUUAUACUGUUUUAUAUUAAUAUGACUUAAAUAAAACUUAGAAAAGGAAUACAGAUGAUGUAAAGAUCAGUGCCUCUGUAAUUAAUUAAUUACCAAUGAUGGUAAUAUAAUGUGUUUUUGUCACCCCAUGCUGCAUUCAAUAAAAAUAAAGCUAAUGGCUUAGAAUUUUUAAAAGAU